rnacentral:rRNA from 1 species
GCCUAAAGCGUCCGUAGCCGGCUCUGUAAGUUUUCGGUUAAAUCCAUAUGCUCAACAUAUGGGCCGCCGGGAAUACUGCAUAGCUAGGGAGUGGGAGAGGUAGACGGUACUCCGUAGGAAGGGGUAAAAUCCUUUGAUCUAUGGAUGACCACCAGUGGCGAAGGCGGUCUACCAGAACACGUUCGACGGUGAGGGAUGAAAGCUGGGGGAGCAAACCGGAUUAGAUACCCGGGUAGUCCCAGCUGUAAACUAUGCAAACUCAGUGAUGCAUUGGCUUGUGGCCAGUGCAGUGCCGCAGAGAAGUCGUUAAGUUUGCCGCCUGGGAAGUACGUACGCAAGUAUGAAACUUAAAGGAAUUGGCGGGGGAGCACCACAAGGGGUGAAGCCUGCGGUUUAAUUGGAGUCAACGCCAGAAAUCUUACCCGGAGAGACAGCAGGAUGAAGGUCAAGCUGAAGACUUUACCAGACAAGCUGAGGAGUGGUGCAUGGCCGUCGCCAGCUCGUGCCGUGAGGUGUCCUGUUAAGUCAGGUAACGAGCGAGAUCCUUGCCUCUAGUUGCCACCAUUACUCUCAGGAGUAGUGGGGCGAAUUAGCGGGACUGCCGUAGUUAAUACGGAGGAAGGAGAGGGCCACGGCAGGUCAGUAUGCCCCGAA